rnacentral:tRNA from 1 species
AAUGAAAUUUAUAGUAAGAGG